GACUGGGGUCGCAGGGAAGAAUUCAAGAUGGCGUGUUUAGGAGCUCUAGCUCCUUGACAAAUUAGUAAAAUGUUAGUCUUAGGAGAAGAACGAAAAGGCUCUCCUAGGCUAAGAAACAGCAUACACAGUGAGAAACCUCAGAAGAAAUAAAAUUCAAGGAAGAUAGCAACAACGAAAACAUCAGAAGGAACACUAAAGUAGUCAAAUCAGCCUAGCAGAAACAAAGUACGUUAACCAAUGGAAAACUGACGGAGAGAAAUAAACUGUUUUUGCACAGCUAAAUGGAAAUGACUUUUGAAUUAUCUGCUUUGGAAGAUUAUCCAUGACACUGUUCUGCCCUGCUCUGCUCUAACAACAUUUGGAUUCACCUACGCUCUUACCAGCUGGAGGGAGUAAACUGGCUCGCCCAGCGCUUCCAUUGUCAGAAUGGCUGUAUCCUGGGAGAUGAGAUGGGCCUGGGGAAGACCUGCCAGACUAUUGCUCUCUUCAUUUAUUUGGCAGGAAGAUUAAAUGAUGAAGGGCCAUUUCUGAUUCUUUGUCCCUUGUCUGUUUUGAGCAACUGGAAAGAAGAAAUGCAGAGAUUUGCUCCAGGUCUUUCCUGUGUAACAUAUGCAGGCGACAAGGAGGAAAGAGCCUGCCUUCAGCAAGACCUGAAACAGGAGUCACGUUUUCAUGUGCUACUGACUACCUAUGAGAUUUGCUUGAAAGAUGCAUCAUUUCUAAAAUCAUUCCCUUGGAGUGUUCUUGUUGUGGAUGAAGCUCACAGGUUGAAAAACCAAAGCUCCCUGCUGCAUAAGACCUUGUCAGAGUUCUCAGUAGUCUUCAGUCUCCUGUUGACCGGAACUCCCAUCCAGAACAGCCUCCAAGAGCUCUACUCCCUCCUCAGUUUUGUGGAGCCUGAUCUCUUUUCCAAGGAAGAGGUGGGAGAUUUUAUUCAACGCUACCAGGAUAUUGAGAAAGAAUCUGAGUCAGCAAGUGAACUGCACAAACUCUUGCAGCCAUUUCUGCUGAGGCGAGUGAAAGCUGAGGUAGCUACAGAGCUUCCCAAGAAGACAGAAGUAGUGAUAUACCAUGGCAUGUCAGCAUUGCAGAAGAAAUACUACAAGGCCAUUUUGAUGAAAGACCUAGAUGCAUUUGAAAAUGAGACGGCAAAGAAAGUUAAACUACAGAACAUUUUGUCCCAGCUUCGAAAGUGUGUGGAUCACCCAUAUUUGUUUGAUGGCUACAGCUAUGAGCGUGUGGAUGGUUCUGUGAGAGGAGAAGAGAGACACUUGGCCAUUAAGAACUUUGGACAGCAGCCCAUUUUCGUUUUUCUCCUGAGUACUAGGGCAGGUGGAGUUGGCAUGAACUUAACAGCAGCAGAUACUGUGAUUUUUGUUGACAGUGACUUUAAUCCUCAGAAUGACUUGCAAGCAGCUGCCAGGGCUCAUCGCAUUGGCCAAAACAAGUCUGUUAAAGUUAUUCGGCUGAUUGGUCGAGACACUGUGGAAGAAAUAGUCUAUAGGAAAGCAGCCUCCAAACUGCAGCUCACCAACAUGAUCAUAGAAGGAGGCCAUUUUACUCUGGGAGCCCAGAAACCCGCUGCCGAUGCUGACCUCCAGUUGAGUGAGAUACUCAAAUUUGGUUUGGAUAAACUGCUGGCCUCUGAGGGGAGCACCAUGGAUGAAAUAGACCUGGAGUCCAUCCUGGGAGAAACAAAAGAUGGCCAGUGGGUCUCUGAUGCCUUGCCUGCAGCAGAAGGAGGGAGCAGAGAUCAAGAGGAAGGAAAAAAUCAUAUGUACUUAUUUGAAGGUAAAGAUUAUUCUAAAGAGCCCAGUAAGGAAGACAGAAAAUCAUUUGAACAACUGGUAAACCUUCAGAAAACCCUUUUGGAGAAAGCUAGUCAAGAGGGCCGAUCACUCCGAAAUAAAGGCAGUGUUCUCAUCCCAGGCCUUGUGGAGGGAUCUACCAAAAGGAAGCGGGUUCUGAGUCCAGAAGAGCUGGAGGACAGACAGAAGAAAAGACAAGAAGCAGCUGCCAAGAGAAGGAGACUCAUAGAGGAGAAGAAGAGGCAAAAGGAAGAGGCUGAACAUAAGAAAAAGAUGGCCUGGUGGGAAUCCAACAAUUACCAGUCCUUCUGCCUGCCCUCUGAGGAGAGCGAGCCAGAGGACCUUGAGAAUGGGGAAGAGAGCUCUGCUGAGCUGGAUUACCAAGACCCAGAUGCUACUUCCCUCAAGUACGUUAGUGGUGAUGUCACCCACCCUCAGGCUGGGGCCGAGGAUGCUCUCAUUGUGCACUGCGUAGAUGACUCUGGCCACUGGGGCAGAGGUGGUUUAUUUACAGCUCUGGAAAAGCGAUCCGCUGAGCCAAGAAAAAUAUAUGAGCUGGCUGGGAAAAUGAAAGACCUGAGUUUGGGAGGUGUCCUUUUAUUUCCUGUUGAUGAUAAAGAAUCAAGAAACAAAGGGCAAGAUUUGUUGGCCUUGAUUGUGGCUCAGCAUCGUGAUCGUUCCAAUGUCCUGUCUGGCAUUAAGAUGGCAGCCCUAGAAGAGGGCCUGAAGAAGAUAUUUUUAGCAGCAAAAAAGAAGAAAGCAAGUGUUCAUCUUCCACGUAUUGGACAUGCCACGAAAGGUUUUAACUGGUAUGGUACUGAGCGACUUAUUCGGAAACAUCUGGCUGCAAGAGGCAUCCCAACUUACAUAUAUUAUUUUCCUAGAAGCAAGUCUGCUGUCCUUCAUUCACAGUCUUCAUCUUCCUCCUCAAGACAGCUGGUGCCUUAAGAAUUGGCCCAGCCUCAGAUCCUGUCUUUAGCAACCAGCUAAUAUUUACCCAGAGGUACUGCAAUAGAGUAUUUCAAAAUGGAAUCAGGAUCUGGUGGGCCUCAGAAAUUGUCUCUUUUCUGAGUUUCAGUUUGGUUCUCCUGGAUGUUUUGCUCUGUUUUGGUACCUGUAAUAUAGGGAAACACAACUUUUUUUGGGAAAGCCCUUUGACCCCAGCUUGCUAGU
ensembl:lncRNA novel transcript, antisense to FMO5